UAACUGCGAUAAGUAGCGUGAAUUGCAGACGCUUUGAACGUUAAACCUUCGAACGCACAUUGCGCCGUCGGAGUCCUAUCCGGCGGCACAUCUGGUUGAGGGUCGUGAUCAAAAACAGCCUGAAUGGAGAGCUGUUAGCUAAACGCAAUUGGCGAAUCACGGGUUCGGCCACCCGACUCGAGUCGAACGUGUUUUGCCAUCAUGAAACAGAGGACGACGACCGACCGACCACGGUCGUUGCCUGCCACACGGAUGGGCAGCCUAGUCGACACGACUAUGGUCCGGCCGCCGGGUAUUGUAAAAACGUCUAUCGUUAUAUACUCGGAUUGGUUGUGAGACCGUCGCUUGGCUUAACCUAUACGUGUCUGGUAGUGGUUUUUCGGAUUCCCGACCUCAACUCAGGUGUGAUUACCCGCUGAACUUAAGC
rnacentral:misc_RNA from 1 species